UACGGGGGGGGCAAGCGUUGUUCGGAAUUACUGGGCGUAAAGGGCUCGUAGGCGGCCAACUAAGUCAGACGUGAAAUCCCUCGGCUUAACCGGGGAACUGCGUCUGAUACUGGAUGGCUUGAGUUCGGGAGAGGGAUGCGGAAUUCCAGGUGUAGCGGUGAAAUGCGUAGAUAUCUGGAGGAACACCGGUGGCGAAGGCGGCAUCCUGGGCCGAUACUGACGCUGAGGAGCGAAAGCGUGGGGAGCAAACAGG
rnacentral:rRNA from 1 species